AAUUAGCAGUGAUUAAGAAGAG
rnacentral:piRNA from 1 species